AUACGGAGGAUGCGAGCGUUAUCCGGAUUUAUUGGGUUUAAAGGGUGCGUAGGCUGUGCGUUAAGUCAGGGGUGAAAUGCCGUCGCUCAACGACGGAGCUGCCCUUGAUACUGGCGUGCCGGAGUACGGAUGCCGUUGGAGGAAUGAGUGGUGUAGCGGUGAAAUGCUUAGAUAUCACUCAGAACACCGAUUGCGAAGGCAUCUGACGAAUCCGUCACUGACACUGAGGCACGAAAGCGUGGGGAUAGAACAGGAUUAGAUACCCUGGUAUUCCACGCCGUAAACGAUGAUGACUAACCGUCGGCGAUAGACAGCCGGUGGCCAAGCGAAAGCGAUAAGUCAUCCACCUGGGGAGUACGUCGGCAACGAUGAAACUCAAAUGAAUUGACGGGG
rnacentral:rRNA from 1 species